rnacentral:rRNA from 1 species
UACAGAGGUCUCAAGCGUUGUUCGGAUUCAUUGGGCGUAAAGGGUGCGUAGGCGGCGCGGUAAGUCGGGUGUGAAAUCUCGGAGCUUAACUCCGAAACUGCAUUCGAUACUGCCGUGCUUGAGGACUGGAGAGGAGACUGGAAUUCCUGGUGUAGCGGUGAAAUGCGCAGAUAUCAGGAGGAACACCAAUGGCGAAGGCAGGUCUCUUGGCAUUAACUGACGCUGAGGAGCGAAAGCAUGGGGAGCGAACAGG